rnacentral:rRNA from 1 species
UGGGGAAUAUUGCACAAUGGGGGAAACCCUGAUGCAGCGACGCCGCGUGAGUGAAGAAGUAUUUCGGUAUGUAAAGCUCUAUCAGCAGGGAAGAAAAAAGACGGUACCUGACUAAGAAGCCCCGGCUAACUACGUGCCAGCAGCCGCGGUAAUACGUAGGGGGCAAGCGUUAUCCGGAUUUACUGGGUGUAAAGGGAGCGUAGACGGAGAAGCAAGUCUGAAGUGAAAGCCCGUGGCUUAACCACGGGACUGCUUUGGAAACUGUUUGACUAGAGUGCUGGAGAGGUAAGUGGAAUUCCUAGUGUAGCGGUGAAAUGCGUAGAUAUUAGGAGGAACACCAGUGGCGAAGGCGGCUUACUGGACAGUAACUGACGUUGAGGCUCGAAAGCGUGGGGAGCAAACAGG